GAGAUAGCUGGUUCUCCCCGAAAGCUAUUUAGGUAGCGCCUCGAGAAUUCAUCUCCGGGGGUAGAGCACUGUUUCGGCUAGGGGGGCAUCCCGGCUUACCAACCCGAUGCAAACUGCGAAUUCCGGAGAAUGUUAUCACGGGAGACACACGGCGGGUGCUAACGUCCGUCGUGAAGAGGGAAACAACCCAGACCGCCAGCUAAGGUCCCAAAGUCAUGGUUAAGUGGGAAACGAUGUGGGAAGGCCCAGACAGCCAGGAUGUUGGCUUAGAAGCAGCCAUCAUUUAAAGAAAGCGUAAUAGCUCACUGGUCGAGUCGGCCUGCGCGGAAGAUGUAACGGGGCUAAACCAUGCACCGAAGCUGCGGCAGCGAACGUAUCACCCAAGACAACUUUACGGAGUUGACGAUUGACGGAGCGAAGCGACGUCAAAGCGUUCAUUAAAGUCGAGUUGGCUUAGGGAUACGUUCGUUGGGUAGGGGAGCGUUCUGUAAGCCUGUGAAGGUGUGUCGUGAGGCAUGCUGGAGGUAUCAGAAGUGCGAAUGCUGACAUAAGUAACGAUAAAGCGGGUGAAAAGCCCGCUCGCCGGAAGACCAAGGGUUCCUGUCCAACGUUAAUCGGGGCAGGGUGAGUCGACCCCUAAGGCGAGGCCGAAAGGCGUAGUCGAUGGGAAACGGGUUAAUAUUCCCGUACUUGGUGUUACUGCGAAGGGGGGACGGAGAAGGCUAUGUUGGCCGGGCGACGGUUGUCCCGGUUUAAGCGUGUAGGUGUGUGUUCCAGGUAAAUCCGGUUCACUUUAACACUGAGGCGUGAUGACGAGGCACUACGGUGCUGAAGCAACAAAUGCCCUGCUUCCAGGAAAAGCCUCUAAGCAUCAGGUAACAUCAAAUCGUACCCCAAACCGACACAGGUGGUCAGGUAGAGAAUACCAAGGCGCUUGAGAGAACUCGGGUGAAGGAACUAGGCAAAAUGGUGCCGUAACUUCGGGAGAAGGCACGCUGACACGUAGGUGAAGUGAUUUACUCAUGGAGCUGAAGUCAGUCGAAGAUACCAGCUGGCUGCAACUGUUUAUUAAAAACACAGCACUGUGCAAACACGAAAGUGGACGUAUACGGUGUGACGCCUGCCCGGUGCCGGAAGGUUAAUUGAUGGGGUCAGCGUAAGCGAAGCUCCUGAUCGAAGCCCCGGUAAACGGCGGCCGUAACUAUAACGGUCCUAAGGUAGCGAAAUUCCUUGUCGGGUAAGUUCCGACCUGCACGAAUGGCGUAAUGAUGGCCAGGCUGUCUCCACCCGAGACUCAGUGAAAUUGAACUCGCUGUGAAGAUGCAGUGUACCCGCGGCAAGACGGAAAGACCCCGUGAACCUUUACUAUAGCUUGACACUGAACAUUGAGCCUUGAUGUGUAG
rnacentral:rRNA from 1 species